AUGUUGAUGUUAGUUCCUUAUUUGUUUAUUUUCUCUAUGAUGUGCUAUUGUUUUUAUACAUUCAUAUGUGUUAUAUUUUGUCUUUUCCCCGUCCUUUUUGAUAAUGUUAAAGGGGGGAGAAGAGAUGCAUGUGUCUUUGUGUAUACCUCUUGUCUAACUUAUGCAGAAACAUAUAUGAUUAAAUCUGUCCAAAACUUCUGCAUCAAGAGAGAGCAUUGUUUCAAGGGGAGUAUCAAACUUAGGGGGAGAAUUCUCUUGUGUAUACCUUCAAAGACACUCAAACUCUUCAAUUUUCAAAUGGUUGACAUCAUCAAAAAGGGGGAGAAUAUGAAGUUAAGUUUCUCCAUUUCUAUGCUUUGA